AGUGCAUUUCUUUAAUGAGAAAUGCAUAAAAUAAAAAAGACCGAGGUGCUACCAACACCCCGGCUCUGUACAAAAAGUUGCCCAUCAAAGGGCUUGCUCGAUGUGGUUCUAGGUAGGCCUAUCCCUUCAGGUUCUGAGGCUCAAGGGAGGUCUAUUUUUUCUAUAUACGUCAAUAGGGCGAUUAUAAACGACCCGAUUGCAAGCAUUAGCAUUAAUGCCUGGAAUGUUGACAUAGCAUCACCCCUUUCAUUAGGGGAUGAGCAAGACUCCCUCGAGUGAGCAAAACUUACUGUACAGGAAAUAUCAUACUAUACAUAAAUGCCCUUGUCGUUAAAAAUUCACAAUAUAUUGACAACGUGAAAGGAACUUGCAAAAUGCAGGUUC
rnacentral:ncRNA from 2 species